rnacentral:rRNA from 1 species
UACGGGGGGGGCAAGCGUUGUUCGGAAUUACUGGGCGUAAAGGGCGCGUAGGCGGCCUGCUAAGUCGGACGUGAAAUCCCUCGGCUUAACCGAGGAACUGCGUCCGAUACUGGUGGGCUUGAAUCCGGGAGAGGGAUGUGGAAUUCCAGGUGUAGCGGUGGAAUGCGCAGAUAUCAGGAGGAACACCGGUGGCGAAGGCGGGUCUCUGGGCAGUAACUGACGCUGAGGAGCGAAAGCGUGGGGAGCGAACAGG